GAAUUCCACGUGUAGCGGUGAAAUGCGUAGAGAUGUGGAGGAACACCAGUGGCGAAGGCGACUCUCUGGUCUGUAACUGACGCUGAGGAGCGAAAGCGUGGGGAGCGAACAGGAUUAGAUACCCUGGUAGUCCACGCCGUAAACGAUGAGUGCUAAGUGUUAGGGGGUUUCCGCCCCUUAGUGCUGCAGCUAACGCAUUAAGCACUCCGCCUGGGGAGUACGGUCGCAAGACUGAAACUCAAAGGAAUUGACGGGGGCCCGCACAAGCGGUGGAGCAUGUGGUUUAAUUCGAAGCAACGCGAAGAACCUUACCAGGUCUUGACAUCCUCUGACAAUCCUAGAGAUAGGACGUCCCCUUCGGGGGCAGAGUGACAGGUGGUGCAUGGUUGUCGUCAGCUCGUGUCGUGAGAUGUUGGGUUAAGUCCCGCAACGAGCGCAACCCUUGAUCUUAGUUGCCAGCAUUCAGUUGGGCACUCUAAGGUGACUGCCGGUGACAAACCGGAGGAAGGUGGGGAUGACGUCAAAUCAUCAUGCCCCUUAUGACCUGGGCUACACACGUGCUACAAUGGACAGAACAAAGGGCAGCGAAACCGCGAGGUUAAGCCAAUCCCACAAAUCUGUUCUCAGUUCGGAUCGCAGUCUGCAACUCGACUGCGUGAAGCUGGAAUCGCUAGUAAUCGCGGAUCAGCAUGCCGCGGGGAAUACGUUCCCGGGCCUUGUACACACCGCCCGUCACACCACGAGAGUUUGUAACACCCGAAGUCGGUGAGGUAACCUUUUAGGAGCCAGCCGCCGAAGGUGGAC
rnacentral:rRNA from 2 species